rnacentral:RNase_P_RNA from 1 species
GCGGAAGGCUGGAUGGCCGCGGCGGUGACUCCACUGUCGAGGAAAGUCCGGACUCCAGGAAGAAACGGUGCCGGGUAACGCCCGGGCGGGGCAACCCGACGGAAAGCGCCACAGAAAGCAAACCGCCCCGGGUGCGCCCGGGGUAAGGGUGAAAGGGUGGGGUAAGAGCCCACCGCGCCCCUGGCAACAGGGGCGGCACGGCAAGCCCCACCGGGAGCAAUGCCAAAUAGGGACCGCGCGCCGCAAGGCGGGGCCGCUUUCGCCCCAGCAGGUCCGGGUUGGCAGCUAUAGCUGCCCUCGCAAGGGGGCAGUCAGAGGAAUGGUCAUCCAUUCGGGGGCGACCCCGGAGGACAGAAUCCGGCUUAUAGGCCUUCCGCGCGU